UACACAGCUGUCAGUUAGUUUCUACUUGGUAUGUGUUUGUUAUGUAAGUACCUAGGUAGGUAUGUACAAUUGUACACGUUAGAAAGUCGCAAGUCAGUGAUUUCAUCUUUAUUGAUACGGAGACUAGUUAAAAGUGCUGUAUUCCUUGUAUCCAAGAAUUGAGAUCCGCUGAAUCUGGACAGUCAAGUGUGCCUUCUGACGCUUCAUCAGGUGCUAGAAGUCUUCGAGCUGCUAUUUGACCUGAUAAAUAAGCACCAUGUGCCGUAGAAUAAUAGCUGCUGUGUGUAUGCUCUCCGGCAAAGAGUAGAACAGGCUGAAAAAGAAAUUCACCACGAUACUUUUUUUUUACGUUCUGCAUUGAAUACAAGGAAAUCUCUCGAAUAUUUUUUAAGUAAUGUUUCAAAAUUAAAUAUGACAAUAGAAAAUAUGCAUAUUUUUUUCUUUAUAAUUCAAUGUUUACAUAAGUGUUAUAAGUAAUACACAUUGAUGAAAAUGUUCAAUUAGAUAUUUAAAAAUACAAGUUUGAUUUGUUUGGCAUUAAAUAUUACAUUAAAUUUUAUAUAGAUUUUUAUCCACUUUUAAUAAAUAAUUCGGCAGUGCUCUUUUGGCAAUAAAAAAAGGACUUAAAAGUAGGCAAAUACAUAAAUGACGAGAUAGUGUUUCCAUUUCUUGAUCAGAAGUGUAUAUUGUUAUGAAAUCAAAUAUAAAUAUAAAAACAAUGGUUCUACUUUUUACAAUUAACCAUUACCUACCUAAUGAUUGAUUACCUAAUGAAUGGGUAGAAUGGUCUGAAAUAGUUAAAAGUGAACACUAUUAUUUAACCGGUUUUUACCAUGGUUUCUAGUUUCAAUCAGUUCUCAAUAUUGUGGCGUUGUUGCAAGUAUCACGAUCAUGGGGUAUACUGAAGAUUACUAGUAAAAAUAAUGAGACGCUUAAUCCUGCCAUUGAUAAAUACAUUCCAGAAUCCAGAACUAAUCAUUACAUUAAGUUGCCCAAGCCACAACUAUUAUGCAACCAUUAAUUAUUAUUAACGGUGUUAAUUCGAGGUGUGAAAGGCUAUUUGGUUUAAGCGACAUUUUUGGAACUUUACAGGAGAGCCAUUUCAAGUUUAAAAUUUGGAAAACAUAUCAUAACACGAAACUUCUUAACCUAAUUGAUUGGAGUAAGCUUAAUUGAAGUUCAAUUAAAAACAUGGUAAUGUUGAUGCUAAUACCAAAUAAAACGCACCUCUAGUUACAAAGAUAAAUGUCGUGUAAUAAGCGAAAUGAGUCGUCUAUUAUCAAAGUCGACUCAAAUGUCGUCUUUCACCCCUUGAUAUGUGGAUACAGAUAGUCUUGAAGACAGUUUUGUAUUGAAUACUAACCAGAGUUGACCUCGGCAGCCCCAUCUACGUCUCUGAGAGUGUAUCCUACGCGGGGCACACAUAUGCGGACGAGAUUAGAAGAGAGUCGUUUUGACUCGCUCCUUUGUGUAUCCCGAAACCCAAAAAGAUUAAAAUUAACUAACAAAUAAAUAAUAUUAUUUUCACUGUGGUCUCGUA